rnacentral:lncRNA from 1 species
AAAAAAGACAUUUAAUAACCAAUUACUAGACAAAAAUGGUUGGGUAGAUAAAACCUGUUCGAUGUAUUUUUCAUGGAUAAAUGUAGCAGGCCGAAAAUAGACAGAGAUAAGGGCGGAAGGGCUUUUUCUUUUUUUUUAUCAACUUCAACCAAUUCUAUUUCUGUUAUAUGGCCCAAUCCGUCCUAUAGAUAUCGAUUUGAAUAGGUAUCUAAGGGUGCCGCCAAUAACUCCGGAAUACGAAUUCCUUUAUUCUCCAAUAUUUAGGGAAUAUAAAUUGAAAAAAUCCCUUAUUCCAUUUAUUUAUUUAUUUCUUUUUUGUUCUAGUAAGAUUUUAUGCCAUUUUUGCAUAUUUCGAUUUAUUUCUUUUUUCUAAAG